rnacentral:rRNA from 1 species
AACUAAAUAUAGCUCGAAACCUGACCCUCAUAAAAUUAUCAUAACAAACUUAAACAAAACAUUAGUUAAAACAAAAGUAUAGGCGAUAGAAAUUUUACUCGACGCUAUAGAGAAAGUACCGUAAGGGAAACCUGAAAGAAAAUUAUAAGUAUAAAACAGCAAAGCUCAAAACUUGUACCUUUUGCAUAAUGACUCAACUAGAAAAUAUUGGCAAGGAGAACUGAAGUCAAGUAACCCGAAACCAGACGAGCUACCUAUCUAGCAGCUUAUAGAGCGAACCCGUCUAUGUGGCAAAAUAGUGGGAUGACUACUAGGUAGAGGCGACAAACCUAUCGAGCCUGGUGAUAGCUGGUUAUCCAGAGUAGAAUUUUAGUUCUAAUUUAAAUCUGCAAAAAAAAAAUAAAUAAAUUGAAAUGUAGGCUUAAAGAGUAGUCUAAAAGGGUACAGCCUUUUAGAUCAGGGACACAACCCUUAUUAGAGAGUAAGAUAUCAGUAAGACCACAAUAGUAGGCCUAAAAGCAGCCACCAAAUAAGAAAGCGUUCAAGCCCAACAGCACUUAAAGUUAAUCUCAACAAUAAAAUCAAUACUCCUAAUACAAGACUGGAUUAUUCUAUUUAUAGAUAGAAGCAAUAAUGUUGACAUGAGUAACAAGAAAUAAUUCUCCCCGCACAUGUGUAUAUCAGAGCGAAUAAAUCACUGAUAGUUACCAAAAUAAAUGUAAAUAAUUAAUUUAAUACUUACAGCUAAUUGUUAGUCCAACACAGGAGUGCAACCAAGGAAAGAUCUAAAAAAGUAAAAGGAACUCGGCAAACACAAACCCCGCCUGUUUACCAAAAACAUCACCUCUAGCAUAAAAAGUAUUAGAGGCACUGCCUGCCCGGUGACUUUAGUUUAACGGCCGCGGUAUUCUGACCGUGCAAAGGUAGCAUAAUCACUUGUUCCCUAAAUAGGGACUCGUAUGAACGGCCCCACGAGGGUUUUACUGUCUCUUACUUUAAAUCAGUGAAAUUGACAUCCUCGUGAAGAGGCGAGGAUAAAAAAAUAAGACGAGAAGACCCUAUGGAGCUUUAAUUAAUUAACCUAUGAAUUAUAAAAUUAUUCUACUAGAAAUAAACAAAUUUCAAUUAGGCUGACAAUUUAGGUUGGGGUGACCUCGGAAUAAAAACCAACUCCCGAGAGAGUUUUAUUAAGACUCACCAGUCAAAAUUAUUCCACUAUACAUUGAUCCGCCACUCGGCGAUCAACGGAACAAGUUACCCUAGGGAUAACAGCGCAAUCCUAUUUAAGAGUUCAUAUCGACAAUUAGGGUUUACGACCUCGAUGUUGGAUCAGGACAUCCUAAUGGUGCAGCCGCUAUUGAUGUGUUCGUUUGUUCAACGAUUAAAGUCCUACGUGAUCUGAGUUCAGACCGGAGCAAUCCAGGUCGGUUUCUAUCUAUUUGCAGGUCUCUCCCAGUACGAAAGGACAAGAGAGACAGGGCCUACUUAAAAUUAAGUGCCCUAAUAAAAUAAAUGAAUUAAUCUCAACUUUACUCCACCAACCUGCGCCCGAAAUAAGGGCUU